UACAGAGGUCUCAAGCGUUGUUCGGAUUCAUUGGGCGUAAAGGGUGCGUAGGCGGCGCGGUAAGUCAGGUGUGAAAUUUCGGAGCUUAACUCCGAAACUGCAUUUGAUACUGGCGUGCUUGAGGACUGGAGAGGAGACUGGAAUUCAUGGUGUAGCAGUGAAAUGCGUAGAGAUCAUGAGGAAGACCAGUGGCGAAGGCGGGUCUCUGGACAGUUCCUGACACUGAGACACGAAGGCCAGGGGAGCAAACGGG
rnacentral:rRNA from 1 species